rnacentral:rRNA from 1 species
AAUACGUUCCCGGACCUUGUACACACCGCCCGUCAAGCCAUGGGAGUUGGGAGGACCUGAAGACAGUUGCUGUAAGGCGCUGUUUAGGGUUAAACCAAUGACCGGGGCU